CUUCCUUGGAUUUUUUUAAUUUAUUUUUGCUUAAAAAAAAUGACAAUUUUUUUUCCUUAUUUACCUUAAAUAUAAUUUAAGAUAUUUUAAACAUUCGAGUCUUUGGCAUUUUUACUCAAACCUCAACUUAAGUUUUCGGUAAUUUUAGACUGAAAAUGCAUGAAUUCACCAGAAUACAACUUCAUACCCAUUGAUAUAUAUAUAAAGUUUUAAAUGAUAAUUGUAAUUUACAAAUAAGAAUCCUAGUCAUUAGUGAAUAAGAUCAUUUUUAGCAAAUGUUGCAUUUAUACAGUAUGAUUUGAUCCCGAAAUACAUUUCUUUUACAAUAAUGGGAAUUUUAUGCGACUGUCAGUACGAUGUUUAGUUACAUAUAGCUAUAAAACCAGAUUUAAUUUGAUAUAUUUGCCGAUGUAUAGUACUAUUCAGGAUAGAACCUAGUUUACAAAACCAAUGAAUUAAAGAAAUCAAUUCACUGCUUAAUAUAUAUAUAUAUAUAUAUAUACUUAUAUAUGUAUCGCUUAAAAUUGAAAUACCUU
rnacentral:lncRNA from 1 species